AGACUACGACGUUGAUAGGCCGGGUGUGUAAGCGCAGCGAUGCGUUGAGCUAACCGGUACUAAUGACCCGUGAGGCUUAACCUUACAACGCCAGAGGCGUUU
rnacentral:rRNA from 1 species